AGGACGAACGCUGGCGGCGUGCUUAACACAUGCAAGUCGAGCGGAAAGGCCCUUCGGGGUACUCGAGCGGCGAACGGGUGAGUAACACGUGAGCAACCUGCCCUCAGCUCUGGGAUAGCUCCGGGAAACCGGAAUUAAUACCGGAUACGACUACGGCCGACAUCGGCUUUGGUGGAAAGGGUUUCCGGCUGAGGAUGGGCUCGCGGCCUAUCAGCUAGUUGGUGGGGUAAUGGCCCACCAAGGCGACGACGGGUAGCCGGCCUGAGAGGGCGACCGGCCACACUGGGACUGAGACACGGCCCAGACUCCUACGGGAGGCAGCAGUGGGAAUAUUGCGCAAUGGGCGAAAGCCUGACGCAGCGACGCCGCGUGGGGGAUGAAGGCCUUCGGGUUGUAAACCCUUUCAGCAGGGACGAAGCGCAAGUGACGGUACCUGCAGAAGAAGCGCCGGCUAACUACGCGCCAGCAGCCGC
rnacentral:rRNA from 1 species